GAAUUUAGGCAGCUGGUGCCAUCAUUGCCCCCGGCCACAUAAAGCAUGCCCUCCAAUACUGCCACACCCGCACUGCUUCUCCGGCUCAACAUGUUGGCAAUGGCAGUCCAUGCAUUACUCUAGAAAGAGAAGUUGAGGGCAAACAGAAACAUGUACCGGAUAACUAACCUAGUGUGGCCACUCUGACAUAUCGUCGCCUGGUGCUCAUGGCAGCGAUGGAGGUCCAGGUACUGGUCAAGGGGUCAUACCUCUCUGCACUAUAGACAAAAUCAAAGAGAAAGCAAGAGACAUAAAGGUAAAAAAUAAUGCACUGUUCCCCUAUAAAAAUCUCUAUAUUAGUGGUUCUCAAACUGGGGGCCGUGAGAUGGUGCCAGGGGCCCCCCAGUUUUAAGACAAUUUAUAAAAGGCAUUAAUUUAUCAUACAUUCUGUGUAAUUAAACCUAAAAAAAUAGUGCUACUAACCAACAACACUGUAUUGUUUAAAUUAAUAUGUUUUGUUUAAUUAAAAUUUCAAGUUUAUUUUUAUAUCAUAAUUUUUUGGGGGGGAUGGACACGCAAAAAUUCACCCAAAAAUGAAAAUUUACUCACCCUCAAGUUUUUACAAACCUGUAUACAUUUCUUUGUUUUGCUAAACACAAAGGAAGAUAUUUGUUAUCAAGCAGGAAACAGAAGCCCCAUUGACUUCCACAGUAGAUAAGAAAAAUACUAUGAAAUCAAUGGUGCCCAAAAAAACGCUUUCCUUAGUGUUCAGCAUAACAAAGAAAUGUGUACAGGUUUGUAACAACUUCAGGGUGAGUAAAUGAUGACAGAAUGUUAAUUUUUGGGUGAACUAUCCCUUUAAGACAUGAGCCUCUUUCACAGAGUAAUUUCUGUAAAUUACCAUGAAUUUACCAGAAUGAAUUUACAGUAAAUACCAAAAUGUGCUGUUUACACACGCAAUGACGUUCCGUCUUUUUACCAGUAAGACAUCAGUAUCAAAAUGCCGGAGAGAAAGUGGAAGUUACCUGUGGCGCGCGACAAACUCAGUGUUAUAUUUUGUUGUUUUCACAUUAGGCGACGUCAAACUGAACCUGCAUCUUGAACAACAGUACUGUUUGCACAUUAGGCUUCACAGAGAGUGUGCUAAGGACGUCGACAAUUCGGAUAGAUGCUGCCAGUUACUUCCUGAAACAAUGUUGUGAAUUGUGGUUUACAGCUGUAAUAAAUCUCACGAGCAUACAGCAGUCCAUGCAGUACCGCCACACCUAAACAGCUUCUUCUCGUACCCAUGGAGACCUCAGGCUGCCACGCAUUGGUUACUGGAUCAUAUGACUCUACAGUGGCCAAAUCAGAAGUGCCAUCAUACCUGAAUUAAGAAGAGUUGAGGGGCAAUAGCAUAAACUCCUCAGUCUUGGAAACCUCUACGAAGUGCUGCAGGACGUACUUAUGGGCCGACUUGAGCAGGUCGCUGCAGGAGUGAGUGUCUGCGAAGCCGCGGAUGCCCAGGCAGUUGGAGGGGUCCAGCUGGCUGAGGAGAAAUUUGCAGCAGGCAUCUCUCACUCCAUUGAGCUGCAGAAGACUUGCUGCCGGCAACAGAGUCUGCUCGGGGUGAAAACAAGACAGUGGACAUGAUGAAAUAAAGAUGGAGAAAGUGUAGGCAUACUGCACCAGCUGCUCCAGGGCCUGAGGGUCAAUGUCAUGCAGGGUCACAUGGGUCUGAUGGCUCUCUGACAUUUCAUCUGCACAGAACAUUUUUCAGUCUCAGGUGAAGCGGGAUUGAUGAGCAAUAGGAAAGACCAGGCACCUGCUGACCUGAGACCAGGACAGGGAAGAGAAUAAAGCAUGGAAACACAACAGGAGAUGACAAAAGGCAGGAAGGAAAAGCUUGAACGGGAAGCUGAGGUAAUGUACACAUAGAAAACAAACAUUGAGCUACACAAUACACCUUAAUGCUUGGGAAUCAGUGAGAAACUGAAAAACAAUACAUCAAUACGAAAGGUAAAAUUUGCAAUUUCUUAUGGUGAAGUAUUUAACUAUAUUUGUAAUUUAAAUUUAUAAUAGCUGCAACACAUCACUUUUAUUGAUAAAACCAACCCAUGUAAAAU